rnacentral:miRNA from 2 species
AACACACCCAGCUAACCUUUUU